AGGGCACCACCAGGAGUGGAGCCUGCGGCUUAAUUUGACUCAACACGGGAAAACUCACCCGGCCCGGACACCGCGAGGAUUGACAGAUUGAUAGCUUUUUCAUGAUUCGGUGGAUGGUGGUGCAUGGCCGUUCUUAGUUCGUGGAGCGAUUUGUCUGGUUUAUUCCGAUAACGAGCGAGACUCUAGCCUACUAACUAGUCUGCACAUUGUACGUGCCUCGCGGCACUGUGUGCCCUUCAGACUUCUUAGAGGGAUUUUCGGCGACUCAAGCCGCACGAGACUGAGCAAUAACGGGUCUGUGAUGCCCUUAGAUGUCCGGGGCUGCACGCGCGCUACACUGGCGAAAUCAGCGUGCCUGUCCUCUCGCGAAAGCGACUGGUAAACCGGUGAAAAUUCGCCGUGAUUGGAUCGGAAAUUGCAAUUAUUUUCCGUGGAACGAGGAAUUCCAAGUAAGUGCGAGUCAUCAACUCGCGUUGAAUAACGUCCCUGCCCUUUGUAACACACCGCCCGUCGCUGCCC
rnacentral:rRNA from 1 species